rnacentral:lncRNA from 1 species
AUUGUUAUUCCCCUCUUCACUAUUGGCCUCUAUUCUUGGCUUCUUCCCUUCACCCCUAGACACAACAUCCUUUCCUUUUUCUUUCCAUCAACCCAUCUGCAAAUAGAUAAUAGUAACAAUUUAACUGAUCAAAACAUCUACACAAUCAAAAUAACUUAAACAUCUUUACCCAGGACUUAAUAAUAACGCUUUCAUAUCACAUCACAUAGGUUUAGGCAAGCACAACCUGGGUGAUAGGUAUAAAACAAUAUGGUAACAUUGCAUAACAUACUCUUCAAAUGAACAACUAAAAAUAAUUGAUAUAUAUACCCCAACUUGUCAAACACAAGAAAUUUAACCAUUUUGUCAUUCUGUCAAACACCUGGCGUGCUAUCAAAAAACUAAUGCACCAUUACUGGGUUAGGCUUCGCCACAACACAAAUUAAGCACAUUAAAACCACAAAUGAACGUGUACUGUUCAAAACCAUCAUCAAUAAAACACUCCAUAGACCCACGUUUAAAGACACAUUGCUAAUUACUCGAUAAAACAAUUUCGUCAACAGUAAAAAAUUUCAGUUACUUGGGCUUCUCAAUCACAAAGGAUGGUAGUAAUACCUGACCAAGGUUUUGUUUCUAAACUAACUCCACGUCCAGAUGUUUGAUUUUGCGAUGGCGCCCACUUCCACCACUGAGCAUUUAAAGAGCCCUCUUGGAAGCGCCCUCAUUUAAACGACACAUACGUGACAUGUAAUUAUAAAUAAGGUUUAAAUUUCUUUUGUUUCCUGUGUUUAGUUUAGUC